AUUGAACGCUAGCGGGAUGCUUUACACAUGCAAUUCGAACGGAGUGGCGGACGGGUGAGUAAUAUAUCAGAACGUGCCCAGUAGCGGGGUAUAAAUACUAAAAAGAGUGUCUAAUACCGUAUACUCUUAUAGCGGCCGAUAGCGGAUUAGCUAGUUGGUGGGGUAAAGGCUCACCAAGGCAACGACCCGUAGCUGGUUUGAGAGGACGACCAGCCACACUGGGACUGAGACACGGCCCAGACUCCUACGGUAGGCAGCAGUGGGGAAUAUUGCACAAUGGGGGAAACCCUGAUCCAGCCAUCCCGCGUGUAUGAUGAAGGCCUUCGGGUUGUAAAGUACUUUUGGCAGAGAAGCGGUAUCUGCAGAAUAAGCACCGGCUAACUACGUGCCAGCAGCCGCGGUAAUUC
rnacentral:rRNA from 1 species